UGGGGAAUUUUGCACAAUGGGGGAAACCCUGAUGCAGCGACGCCGCGUGAUUUAGAAGGCCUUCGGGUUGUAAAAAUCUUUUCUAAGGGAAGAAAAUGACAGUACCAUAGGAAUAAGGACCGGCUAAUUACGUGCCAGCAGCCGCGGUAAUACGUAAGGUCCGAGCGUUGUCCGGAAUCAUUGGGCGUAAAGGGUACGUAGGCGGGUAAGCAAGUUAGAAGUGAAAUCCUAUAGCUCAACUAUAGUAAGCUUUUAAAACUGCUCAUCUUGAGGUAUGGAAGGGAAAGUGGAAUUCCUAGUGUAGCGGUGAAAUGCGCAGAUAUUAGGAGGAAUACCGGUGGCGAAGGCGACUUUCUGGCCAUAACCUGACGCUGAGGUACGAAAGCGUGGGUAGCAAACAGG
rnacentral:rRNA from 1 species